rnacentral:sRNA from 2 species
AUUGGCAGUGAUAGAUAGAUUGACAGCAGUAGAUAGAUUGACAGUAAUAGAUUAACAGUAAUAGAUUAGCAGCAAUAGAUUAACAGCAAUAGAUUAGCAGUAAUAGAUUAGCAGCAAUAGAUAGAUUGACAGCAGUAGAUAGAUUGACAGUGAUAGAUUAGCAGCAAUAGAUUAGCAGCAAUAGAUUAGCAGCAAUAGAUUAGCAGUGAUAGAUAGAUUGACAGUAAUAGAUAGAUUGACAGCAAUAGAUUAGCAGCAAUAGAUUAGCAGCAAUAGAUUAGCAGUAAUAGAUUAGCAGUGAUAGAUAGAUUAACAGUGGUAGAUAGAUUGACAGCAGUAGAUAGAUU